rnacentral:tRNA from 1 species
GGUGAAAUGGCUCAGUGGUUAAGAGCACUGACUGCUCUUCUAGGAGUCCUGAGUUCAAUUCUCAGCAACCA